UCUUUUUGAUUCCAUGAGAGCUGAGUACAUUGAUACAGACAAUAUACAGAUCUGCAGGACAGGAUUGGUAUACAAAUAGUAUAUCACCAAUGAAAGAAACAGGAAAAGGAGGAAAAGAAGUAGAAUGAUUCACUGAUAGAACUGAUUUCACGUGGCAAAAUCACUGGUAAUAAUACUCCAUAAGCAGUAGGUAGGAGGGUAUAUAGAAGCAUCAAUCAACAGAAACAGGUUGCAUGUUUUCGGCUUCUUUCCUC
rnacentral:lncRNA from 1 species